GAGUUUGAUCAUGGCUCAGAACGUACGCUGGCGGCACGCCUAACACAUGCAAGUCGAACGAAGUAGCAAUACUUAGUGGCAGACGGGUGAGCAACAUGUAGGUAUCUGCCCUUUGGCCUGGAAUAACACGAGGAAACUUGUGCUAAUACCGGAUAAGUCUUUACGGAGAAAGCUUUAUGCACCAUUGGAUGAGCCUGCACUUGAUUAGUUUGUUGGUGGGGUAAUGGCCUACCAAGACUGUGAUCAAUAGCUGAUUUGAGAGGAUGAUCAGCCACAUUGGGACUGAGACACGGCCCAAACUCCUACGGGAGGCAGCAGUGGGGAAUCUUGCACAAUGGAGGAAACUCUGAUGCAGCGAUGCCGCGUGAGUGAAGAAGGCCCUUGGGUUGUAAAGCUCUUUCGUCGGGGAAGAAAAUGACUGUACCCGAAUAAGAAGGUCCGGCUAACUUCGUGCCAGCAGCCGCGGUAAUACGAAGGGACCUAGCGUAGUUCGGAAUUACUGGGCUUAAAGAGUUCGUAGGUGGUUGAAAAAGUUAGUGGUGAAAUCCCAGAGCUUAACUCUGGAACUGCCAUUAAAACUUUUCAGCUAGAGUAUGAUAGAGGAAAGCAGAAUUUCUAGUGUAGAGGUGAAAUUCGUAGAUAUUAGAAAGAAUACCAAUUGCGAAGGCAGCUUUCUGGAUCAUUACUGACACUGAGGAACGAAAGCAUGGGUAGCGAAGAGGAUUAGAUACCCUCGUAGUCCAUGCCGUAAACGAUGUGUGUUAGACGUUGGAAAUUUAUUUUCAGUGUCGCAGGGAAACCGAUAAACACACCGCCUGGGGAGUACGACCGCAAGGUUAAAACUCAAAUGAAUUGACGGGGACCCGCACAAGUAGUGGAGCAUGUGGUUUAAUUCGAAGAUACGCGCAGAACCUUACCAGCACUUGACAUGUUCGUCGCGACUCUAAGAGAUUAGAGUUUUCGGUUCGGCCGGACGAAACACAGGUGCUGCAUGGCUGUCGUCAGCUCGUGUCGUGAGAUGUUGGGUUAAGUCCCGCAACGAGCGCAACCCUCACUUUUAGUUGCCAUCAUUAAGUUGGGCACUCUGAAAGAACUGCCAGUGAUAAGCUGGAGGAAGGUGGGGAUGACGUCAAGUCCUCAUGGCCCUUACGUGUUGGGCUACACACAUGCUACAAUGGUAUCUACAACAGGAAGCAAGACUGCGAAGUUAAGCAAAUCCCUAAAAGAUACCUCAGUUCGGAUUGCACUCUGCAACUCGAGUGCAUGAAGCUGGAAUUACUAGUAAUCGUGGAUCAGCGUGCCACGGUGAAUGCGUUCCCGGGUCUUGUACACACCGCCCGUCACACCAUGGGAGUUGGUUCUACCUUAAGGCAAGGUUUCAAACCCUUGACCACGGUAUAGUCAGCGACUGGGGUGAAGUCGUAACAAGGUAACC
rnacentral:rRNA from 1 species